CGAUGAGGUAGAGGUUGCAUCCAUUAAUAGUAUCGUUCAGGAGAUGUUGUGGCAUUGAUGAAUGAACGAGAAAGGAAUGGUUGCCGAAGUGAGACAUGCCCACUGCAUUGUCUUGCUGGGUCUGUACUGAAUAAGUGCAGAACUGUCACAAGUAGCAAUACUUGUGGAGAGCUAUCAAGAGA
rnacentral:ncRNA from 2 species